UGAUGGACAGGGAGGCCUGGCGUGCUGCGAUUCUCGGGGUCGCAAAGAGUUGGACACGACUUAGGGACUGAACUGAACUGAACUGAUCAUUAAUCUUAAGCGCAUAUAUCUGAUCUAUUGUAAAAUAGCCAAGGGGCAUGAAAAAGGGUGGUGACUUAAUCUAAGGAUCAAGAAAAGCCAUAGAAUUGUUAAGCAUCUUGACCUUUAAAGUGAUUGGUUAGAAACAGAGUAUCUUAAGGACAGGAGCCAACCAAAAAUGUACAGAUUAAGGAUAUAAAAACUGCUCUAAGUCCUGACUUAAGGGGAUUCUUUACCUCCUCUCAAUGUCUAUGCAGAGAACUUUGUGCUUUCCUUCUCUUUAAUAAAUCCUAUUUGCUUGCUACCAUGGGUGUUUGCAUGUUCAUGAAGUUCAUUCUUCAGCUCUGUGAACAAGAACUCAGAUUCCUGUUUUACUACUAGCAGCCAGUGAGCGCCUGAGACCAGCCAACAAACACAUGAAUGACCUUGGAUGCACCUUCUUCAGUCCAAGUGCAGCCAUUACUUGACUGCAUCCCUGGAUGAUGGCUUGACUUGCAAUCACACAAGGGCUUCUCAGCUAUAACCCCCAGCUGACCCACCCUGGAAUUGCUGACUCACAGAAAUUGGGAGAAAGUUAAACUGCAUUUACUGCCAGAUUGGAAGGGAAGAUUAUUACCAUAAGAAGUGCACAGAGAAUUUAUGAGAGAAUUCCUGGAGGGUCAAAGAGCUUUUUCAAAUCUUUGUAAGAGGUAGGAGUAAGUCAGUCUCUUGGAUUCAUCCUCUGUUCAGAAACUAUUUGAAUACUUCUUUAUCCUUGUAAGUUGAAUCCAAAAGGACUUACCUUGCAAGGCUUAUGACAAAUUCAUCUCUGACUGACGGAUCAGAGAAGCGGGAUAAAUAAUGGAUGAAAAGAUCAAGGAUUUCAAAUAUGGAAACAGUGCUACAUGAUGAUUACAAGUAAUUCAUUAAUUCAUUCAAUAAAGAUUUAUUGAUCUGC